CAAGGCCUGCAUUGUCCUCUUAGGUUCCAAGGAAGUGGGUCCUGACCUGGAGAGAAAUGUCAUGGUACAUAACCCAGCCUUUUGUGUCUCAACAAGCCCUGGACAGGCUCCAGUUGAGUGACACGUGACCAGCUUUCGAGGGGACAGGACACAGAGCAAGCUCUGAAGGACCAGCAGUCAGGCCAUUGUCAUUCCUGCGCUCAGCACUUUCUACCUUCCAAUUUCUUCCUGUCUUCAGUGAUCUCACCGUUGUGCACUUUUCACGAAGACUGUAUCACAGAAAUGUGCCACUUCUCUUUAUUGUCUUCAUAGUAAAUAAAAUAAGAAUCCAUGUUCAUCAUGUCAAAGUAA